rnacentral:rRNA from 1 species
CUAAUACCCCAUAUGCCGAGAGGUGAAAUGAAUAACGCCUGAGGAUGAGCUCGCGUCUGAUUAGCUAGAUUGGUGUGGUAAAGGCUCACCAAGGCUUCGAUCAGUAGCUGGUCUGAGAGGAUGAUCAGCCACACUGCGACUGAGACACGGCCCAGACUCCUACGGGAGGCAGCAGUGGGGAAAUUUCCGCAAUGGGCGCAAGCCUGACGGA